GGAUUAGGCAUGCAAGUCGAACGAGAAAGGUUUCGCAAGAGACCGAGUAAAGUGGCGGAAGGGCGAGUAAUGCAUAGAUAACCUGCCUCUGAGAUGGGGAUAACCUUUCGAAAGGAAGGCUAAUACCCAAUGAGACCACGGGUCGCAUGGCCUGUGUUUAAAGAUAGGGACCCGCAAGGGCCUUUUACUCAGGGAAGGGUUUAUGUCCUAUCAGCUAGUUGGUGGGGUAACGGCCCACCAAGGCUAUGACGGGUAGCCGACCUGAGAGGGUGACCGGCCGCACUGGGACUGAGACACUGCCCAGACUCCUACGGGAGGCUGCAGUCGAGGAUCUUCCGCAAUGCGCGAAAGCGUGACGGAGCGACGCCGCGUGGGUGAUGAAGGCCUUCGGGUUGUAAAGCCCUGUCGCCUGGGAAGAAUGGCGGGAGGUGAAUAGCCAUCUCGCUUGACGCUACCAGGGAAGGAAGCACCGGCUAAAUACGUGCCAGCAGCCGCGGUAAUACGUAUGGUGCGAACGUUGUUCGGAAUCACUGGGCAUAAAGAGCACGUAGGCGGUUGAGCAAGUCCAUUGUGAAAUCCCCCGGCUUAACCGGGGAACUGCAGUGGAUACUACUUGACUUGAGUGCAGGAGGGGAGAGUGGAAUUCCAGGUGGAGCGGUGAAAUGCGUAGAUAUCUGGAGGAACGCCGGUGGCGAAAGCGACUCUCUGGUCUGUAACUGACGCUGAGGUGCGAAAGCUAGGGGAGCAAACGGGAUUAGAUACCCCGGUAGUCCUAGCCCUAAACGAUGGGCACUAAGUAGAGGGGUUUU
rnacentral:rRNA from 2 species